AGAGCGAUGGGCUUGGCUGGUAGAGCGAUGGGCUUGUAACCCAAAGGUCGCCGGUUCGAAUCCGACUCAGUCUC